rnacentral:rRNA from 1 species
UAGUUUGUCCUGGCUUCAGAUUGAACGCUGGCGGCAUGCUUUACACAUGCAAGUCGAACGGUAACAGGUUAAGCUGACGAGUGGCGAACGGGUGAGUAACGCAUCGGAACGUGCCCGAUCGUGGGGGAUAACGCAGCGAAAGCUGCGCUAAUACCGCAUACGAUCUGAGGAUGAAAGCGGGGGACCGUAAGGCCUCGCGCGAUCGGAGCGGCCGAUGUCAGAUUAGGUAGUUGGUGGGGUAAAGGCUCACCAAGCCAACGAUCUGUAGCUGGUCUGAGAGGACGACCAGCCACACUGGGACUGAGACACGGCCCAGACUCCUACGGGAGGCAGCAGUGGGGAAUUUUGGACAAUGGGCGCAAGCCUGAUCCAGCAAUGCCGCGUGCAGGAAGAAGGCCUUCGGGUUGUAAACUGCUUUUGUACGGAACGAAACGGUGAUCUCUAAUACAGGUUGCUAAUGACGGUACCGUAAGAAUAAGCACCGGCUAACUACGUGCCAGCAGCCGCGGUAAUACGUAGGGUGCGAGCGUUAAUCGGAAUUACUGGGCGUAAAGCGUGCGCAGGCGGUUUUGUAAGACAGACGUGAAAUCCCCGGGCUCAACCUGGGAAUGGCGUUUGUGACUGCAAGGCUGGAGUGCGGCAGAGGGGGAUGGAAUUCCGCGUGUAGCAG